UAUGCAAUGUGCAGUCUAAUCAACUAAAUAAUCAAGCCAGCCUGAUUUGCUGUAUUCCCUUUUCCCCUUUGCUCAUCUCGGAAAAACUGCAGCCCUGAAAUCCUGAAUUUACCCUUUUCCUUGCUGGGUAAGCUCUGUCUGAAACCUCCCACAAGUAGGGAGGUCACAGAGAUUAUUCCACCCUUUUCUGCUUCUCUGGCUGUAGACACCAUUUGUCAUAUUGUCACACCUUGAUUCCCACCCAACUCAGGCACUCCCCUGGGACAAGGCUGGCACUGCAAACCUGUGUUAGGUUUUUUCCAAGGUUUUAGCCCAUGGAUUGUCAACAGAUGGGCUGGGAAAGGGAUGGGGAGAGAGACUAUCCAUGAGUUGAGUCUGAAUGGUUUGGAGAGAGCACUGGGCUGGCCAGGAAUGAUGGGGGAGCUGUUUGCCACUCCUGGAGGGACUCAGUUGUGCCCCUCCUUUGGGUUUAUUUCCUCUUUACUUUCCACUCUCAUUCCUCAGUAUGGUUUUCUUACUGAUCAUAGGCCGAGAAAGUAAUGAAAAAUUGUAUUUAAAAGUUUUACUGGUUUUGAAAGCUGUCACUGCAGUUAGUAGCAUCAUUAGGGAAAUGGGGUGGGCUGAUUUUCUGGGCUGCUGAGAAUUGCAAGUCCAGCUGCAAGAGGUACAGCCCAGGAGAUCAGCAGAUUUUCAUGCUGGGCUUUGGGAUAGGCUUCUUUUUCUCUCUGAUCUGAGGGUCUUUCAGCACUCCCCAGGGAAUGUUCUCAGUGCUGAUAUGUAGUGAAGGUUCUCUGAGCUGUUUGAUUAUUUUGUACUCUUGGAGUUUGCAGCUGAGGUUUGCUUCUGAGAACCUGCUGUAGAAAGAUGAAUAAUUCAGCUGCAGACAGGAAGCAGAAGAUUUUAAUACUGAAUUGCUUCAGAGUCCUCUUUGGCUACCUUUUUUGUGAUGUCUGUCUGCAGUGGCUUGACUGAAUGACGGAUCUUGGCAUUCCCACCAGUUUGUGUGUCCAGAGAUGCACUUGGAGGUGCUGAAUGUGAGGCUCAAGCCAGCUCUGCUCAUUAUAGUGACCAAAUCUGGCUACUCAUGUACAGCAGGAACAAGACUUGACUGUGUGUGGAUCCUUGGGACUCCAUAAAACUUACUAUUGCAGAUCUCAAGACAUUAUAGAGGGAGGACCCAAUCUCAGCAUCUUCAAGUGUAAAACAAAACCUUAAUAAGGACUGCUGAACCUGACUAGCUGCCUCAUAGGAAAUUGCAAGUUCUUCAACUGCAAACAAAGGGAGAAUGAAAGAGAAGUAAGAAGGCAGCAAGCAGCAGGUCCUCUCAUCACCCUGUGGCUGCAGCCACUCCCUGCAGCAGCAACAGCAGAGGGACCCCACAGCUGCUCCAGGAGGAGGUGAGUCACCAUCACCAUUCCCAUGACCCAUCCCCAUCACCAUACCUCCUGUCCUCAGCAAGAAGGAAGUUGAGCCCCACCCAAAAAUUCCCCCAACAAGUGCACGUAAGUCUUUUAUACCUCCACUAAUAAUGUAUCAUGUUCAUGUGUGACUUGUGGCUCUCUCUUGCCUGUGAUGUACUAAGAGAAGUUACCUGUGAAGGUAUUACAGUUCUCUGUCCUGAAUUAGCUGAGAUCAUAUCCAAAAAUGACGUCUGGGAUAAAAAAAGCUGGAGAGGCACGUUUGACAAGGGCAUACAGUGACAGGACAAGGUGCAAAUGCUUGGUAAGAAUUUGGUGGUAUCUGUUUUCAGCAAAUCUCCUUUUACUGUCCUGGCCUGGAUCACUUGCUAAUUGUUCAUUAACCAUCA